CUGGCUCAGGAUGAACGCUGGCGGCAUGCCUAAUACAUGCAAGUCGAACGAGGUAUAGCAAUAUACCGAGUGGCGAACGGGUGAGUAACGCGUGAGCAACCUGCCCUAUACAGGGGGGACAACAGCUGGAAACGGCUGCUAAUACCGCAUAAGACCACAGCACCGCAUGGUGCAGAGGUAAAAGGCUACGGUCGGUAUAGGAUGGGCUCGCGUACCAUUAGCUAGUUGGUGAGAUAACAGCCCACCAAGGCUACGAUGGUUAGGGCCGACCUGAGAGGGUGAUCGGCCACAUUGGAACUGAGACACGGUCCAGACUCCUACGGGAGGCAGCAGUAGGGAAUAUUGGGCAAUGGAGGAAACUCUGAACCCCCAGCAACGCCGCGUGAAGGAUGAAGGUUUUCGGAUUGUAAACUUCUGUUAUGAAAGAAGAAUAAAUGAUGGUAUUUCAUGAGUAAGCCCCGGCUAACUAUGUGCCAGCAGCCGC
rnacentral:rRNA from 1 species